rnacentral:SRP_RNA from 1 species
ACCGAGCCUAGUAACGUGGGCUUAUAAUCCAAGUGGAGGUAUUAAGGUGAUUGGACAUUUGAUUAGCCUAAGUGGCUGGACCUUUAAUUGCUUAAUCUGGACCGUCCAUUCCAAGCUGGGAGUUGGGUCUCGAGGCUCGAUCGAAGGGUCGGGUUUCGUUGCCUUUAGAGUGGAGGGCACCGCGUCAGGCUGGCUUCACAGAGCAGCGAUAACCUCCCACUCUCGGCAGUGGAAGGAUUGCGGUUCGGUGCAAUUCGAGUCCGAUAAAAGUCACUUGGGCUUGUCCAAAUUGAACUUUCACCUUU